rnacentral:rRNA from 1 species
CCUACGGGAGGCAGCAGUGGGGAAUAUUGCACAAUGGGCGCAGCCUGAUGCAGCACGCCGGUGAGGGAUGACGGCCUUCGGGUUGUAAACCUCUUUUAGCAGGGAAGAAGGAAAGUGACGGUACCUGCAGAAAAAGCGCCGGCUAACUACGUGCAGCAGCGCGGUAAUCGUGGGCGCAAGGCGUUAUCCGGAUUAUUGGGCGUAAAGAGCUCGUAGGCGGUUUGUCGCGUCUGCUGUGAAAUCCCGAGGCUCGACCUCGGGCCUGCAGUGGGUACGGGCAGACUAGAGUGCGGUAGGAGACUGGAAUUCCUGGCGUAGCGUGGAGCGCAGAUAUCAGGAGGACACCGAUGGCGAAGGCAGAUCUCUGGGCCGUAACUGACGCUGAGGAGCGAAAGGUGGGGAACAGGCUUAGAUACCCUGGUAGUCCACCCCGUAAACGUUGGGAACUAGUUGUGGGGUCCAUUCCACGGAUUGACGCAGCUAACGCAUU